GGCCCUACGGGGCGCAGCAGGCGCGAAAACUUUACCAUGCGGGCAACCGUGAUAAGGAAACCCCGAGUGCCAGCACAGGCUGGCUGUCCGCCAGUUUAAAUAACUGGUGAAGAAAGGGCCGGGCAAGACCGGUGCCAGCCGCCGCGGUAAUACCGGCGGCUCGAGUGGUGGCCGCUAUUACUGGGCUUAAAGGGUCCGUAGCUUGAUAACUGGGUCCCUUGAGAAAUCCGCCAGCUUAACUGGCGGGCGUUCAGGGGAAACUUGUUUUCUAGGGACCGGGAGAGGUGAGGGGUACUGCCGGGGUAGGAGUGAAAUCCUGUAAUCCCGGUGGGACUACCUAUGGCGAAGGCAUCUCACCAGAACGGGUCCGACAGUGAGGGACGAAAGCUGGGGGAGCAAACCGGAUUAGAUACCCGGGUAGUCCCAGCUGUAAACUAUGCUCGCUAGGUGUCAGGGACGGUGCGACCGUUUCUGGUGCCGCAGGGAAGCCGUGAAGCGAGCCACCUGGGAAGUACGGUCGCAAGGCUGAAACUUAAAGGAAUUGGCGGGGGAGCACUACAACGGGCGGAGCCUGCGGUUUAAUUGGACUCAACGCCGGAAAACUCACCGG
rnacentral:rRNA from 1 species